UNGGCUUAUUUAGAGCAAAGAGGAGCCU
rnacentral:piRNA from 1 species